UACGGGGGGAGCAAGCGUUGUUCGGAUUUACUGGCGUAAAGAGCUCGUAGGUGGUUUGUCGCGUUGUUCGUGAAAACUCACAACUCAAUUGUGGGCGUGCGGGCGAUACGGGCAGACUGGAGUACUGCAGGGGAGACUGGAAUUCCUGGUGUAGCGGUGAAAUGCGCAGAUAUCAGGAAGAACACCCGUGGCGAAGGCGGCUCUCUGGAACGCAACUGACGCUGAGACGCGAAAGCGUGGGGAGCAAACAGG
rnacentral:rRNA from 1 species